rnacentral:rRNA from 1 species
AUUGAACGCUGGCGGCAUGCCUUACACAUGCAAGUCGAACGGCAGCACGGGUGCUUGCACCUGGUGGCGAGUGGCGAACGGGUGAGUAAUACAUCGGAACGUACCCUAUCGUGGGGGAUAACGCAGCGAAAGCUGUGCUAAUACCGCAUACGCCCUGAGGGGGAAAGCGGGGGAUCGAAAGACCUCGCGCGAUUAGAGCGGCCGAUGCCUGAUUAGCUUGUUGGUGGGGUAAAAGCCCACCAAGGCGACGAUCAGUAGCUGGUCUGAGAGGACGAUCAGCCACACUGGGACUGAGACACGGCCCAGACUCCUACGGGAGGCAGCAGUGGGGCAUUUUGGACAAUGGGGGCAACCCUGAUCCAGCAAUGCCGCGUGAGUGAAGAAGGCCUUCGGGUUGUAAAGCUCUUUUGUCAGGGAAGAAACACCGGCUCUAACACAGUCCGGGAAUGACGGUACCUGAAGAAUAAGCACCGGCUAACUACGUGCCAGCAGCCGCCGUAA